AUUGAACGCUGGCGGCAGGCCUAACACAUGCAAGUCGAGCGAGCGGCGGACGGGUGAGUAAUGUCUGGGAACCUGCCUGAUGGAGGGGGAUAACUACUGGAAACGGUAGCUAAUACAGCAUACCAUCUGAUGAGACCAGAUGGGUUUAGCUAGUAGGUGGGGUAACGGCUCACCUAGGCGACGAUCCCUAGCUGGUUUGAGAGGAUGACCAGGCACACUGGAACUGAGACACGGCCCAGACUCCUACGUGAGGCAGCAGUGGGGAAUAUUGGACAGUGGGCGCAACCCUGAUGCAGCCAUGCCGCGUGUGUGAAGAAGGCCUUCGGGUUGUAAAGCACGUUCAGCUGGGAGGCGUUACCUGCAGAAGAAGCACCGGCUAACUCCGUGCCAGCAGCCGCGGUAAUUC
rnacentral:rRNA from 1 species